ACGGUCCUAAGGUAGCGAAAUUCCUUGUCGGGUAAGUUCCGACCUGCACGAAUGGUGUAAUGAUGGCCAGGCUGUCUCCACCAGAGACUCAGUGAAAUUGAAAUUGCGGUGAAGAUGCCGUAUACCCGCGGCUAGACGGAAAGACCCCGUGAACCUUUACUAUAGCUUGGCACUGAACAUUGACCCUGUAUGUGUAGGAUAGGUGGGAGGCUUUGAAGCGGGAACGCCAGUUCUCGUGGAGCCGUCCUUGAAAUACCACCCUUGCAUGUUUGAUGUUCUAACGUAGGUCCCUUAUCGGGACUGCGGACAGUGUCUGGUGGGUAGUUUGACUGGGGCGGUCUCCUCCUAAAGAGUAACGGAGGAGCACGAAGGUUGGCUAAGUACGGUCGGACAUCGUACGGUUAGUGCAAAGGCAGAAGCCAGCUUAACUGCGAGACAGACACGUCGAGCAGGUACGAAAGUAGGUCUUAGUGAUCCGGUGGUUCUGUAUGGAAGGGCCAUCGCUCAACGGAUAAAAGGUACUCCGGGGAUAACAGGCUGAUACCGCCCAAGAGUUCAUAUCGACGGCGGUGUUUGGCACCUCGAUGUCGGCUCAUCACAUCCUGGGGCUGAAGUCGGUCCCAAGGGUAUGGCUGUUCGCCAUUUAAAGUGGUACGCGAGCUGGGUUUAGAACGUCGUGAGACAGUUCGGUCCCUAUCUGCCGUGGGCGUUGGAUGAUUGAUUGGAGUUGCUCCUAGUACGAGAGGACCGGAGUGAACGAACCGCUGGUGUUCGGGUUGUCAUGCCAAUGGCACUGCCCGGUAGCUACGUUCGGAACGGAUAACCGCUGAAAGCAUCUAAGUGGGAAGCCGGCCAAGAGAUGAGUCAUCCCUUGUGCCUUGAGCACACAUAAGGGUCGUUGGAGACCACAACGUUGAUAGGUGAGGUGUGGAAGCGUGGUGACACGUUAAGCUAACUCAUACUAAUUGCCCGAGAGGCUUAACCAU
rnacentral:rRNA from 1 species